rnacentral:rRNA from 1 species
AUACGUAGGUGGCAAGCGUUGUCCGGAAUUAUUGGGCGUAAAGCGCGCGCAGGUGGUCCUUUAAGUCUGAUGUGAAAGCCCACGGCUCAACCGUGGAGGGUCAUUGGAAACUGGGGGACUUGAGUGCAGAAGAGGAAAGUGGAAUUCCAAGUGUAGCGGUGAAAUGCGUAGAGAUUUGGAGGAACACCAGUGGCGAAGGCGACUUUCUGGUCUGUAACUGACACUGAGGCGCGAAAGCGUGGGGAGCAAACAGGAUUAGAUACCCUGGUAGUCCACGCCGUAAACGAUGAGUGCUAAGUGUUAGAGGGUUUCCGCCCUUUAGUGCUGCAGCUAACGCAUUAAGCACUCCGCCUGGGGAGUACGGUCGCAAGACUGAA